CGCUCGAAGGGAGUGGACUUUUCAUUUGUCUGGAGUCUGUCCUACUGACCUAGGCAGCAGUCCCUAUAUUAUUGCCACGUGGUGGCCUCAGUUGGGAUGCGCUAAGAACGUCCAGCAGCUACUCAGACCUACUCUACUGUACGCUUCUCCAUUGUGAUUCCUGCCAUUCUUAAUGCAAAGCACUACUGGGAAAACAAGCUAUGACCAUGCUUACUCCAAGCUCUGAGUAUCACUCGUUACAGAGACUAGUCUUCAGGUCUAAUCGAAUUCGCCCUCUGGCAGCAGCCGCCGGUAAUCCGAAGGGGGUUAGCGUCGCUCGGAAUCACUGGGCGUAAAGGGCGCGUAGGCGGCCGAUUAAGUCGGGGGGUGAAAACCUGUGGCUCAACCACAGAAUUGCCUUCGAUACUGGUUGGCUUGAGACCGGAAGAGGACAGCGGAACUGCGAGUGUAGAGGUGAAAUUCGUAGAUAUUCGCAAGAACACCAGUGGCGAAGGCGUCUGUCUGGUCCGGUUCUGCCGCUGAGGCGCGAAAGCGUGGGGAGCAAACAGGAUUAGAUACCCUGGUAGUCA
rnacentral:rRNA from 1 species